UGGCAACAGUGAUGACAGGAGUUUGUACCUGGAUGUGGUGUUCCCUUACUACAUGGAGACAACAGUCCCUCUAACCUGAUGUUGCCA
ensembl:snoRNA small nucleolar RNA, C/D box 127